AUCACUAUCACUAUCAUACAUACGGUUUUGUCAAAAAAAAAAAAAAAAGAACACGAAGAACUGUGUUGUGUCGAAGAAGGAACCGCAAACCGAAAUCCUCUCACCCUUCGAAACCCUCGUCGACAUUGUUCUUUACUUCUUCGAACUCUCUCUAACUCUCUGUCGUUGAACUCUCUAUAACUCUCUGUCGUUGAACUCUGUCUCGUCGGAGUUUUUAGAAACCGUCGUCUGUACGAAAUCGCCUUCACCGCAUUCUCAUCAACGAGUUCAUCUUUUCCGGUAAGAUGUCGCGACGUUAUAUAUUGUAUUUUGGUUGAGUUUGUGGGUCAGUUAUAUAUUGAGGCUGUGAUAUGGGUGUGUCGAGGUUUUUGUUGCGACUGAGUUAGGGUUAUGUUGACUGUGCUAUGGGUUUGUCGAGGAUUUUGUUGUGUCUGAGUUAGGGUUAUGUUGCGG
rnacentral:lncRNA from 1 species